rnacentral:lncRNA from 1 species
AAGAGCCUGACUUCACUGGGACCCUGCCCUGAUCUUGUACUGAAGAAAAAUAAUUAAUGUCAUCCUUCAUUUUUAGUGUGCAAGUCAAAAAGUGAGCUGUCACCCUUUGAAGAGUGCAUGGACACCAGUCCAACAUGCAAGUCCUCCCUCUUGAAACUGCUCCUGCGAUAUGGGUUAGCAUGAGCUACCUUCUAACCUGAUCACUGAGCCACAUUGGCUACGUGGAUGCUCACAUCCUGUGCCUUUUUUCUGUCAUAGGUUCAACAACAUAAAAGUUCACCUGGAAAAAUAUCUUUCUGAGAUGGAGGAAAAGAUAAUCUUCCACAAAAGGAACUGGAACCAUUUCUACUUCAUGGUGGUGCAUUGCCUGGAGGAUUUUAUGUACCCUUCUUCUCAAGAUGAUGUCAACCAACUUGUUGAAAGCUGCCUCUCUACUGCAGACCUUUCUGCUUUCUGCUCAUGCAAGGCCUCAAAAAUUGACACCCUCCAGUUCAUAGCUCGUCUCCGGUUCUCCAUCAGCCAUGUGGCCACUGUGCUUGGCAGACAGGCACUCUGUGCUGCAGAUCCAAACAUACCAUCUCCUGGUGGGAACAAGCAAGAGGAGCAAGACCUGGUGAAUGCAAUGAAGAAGCUGGUGGCAAAAGCACAGACACCAUGGCCUCAAAUAUUUCUCAUUAGAAAUCUCUGUAACAACUAUGGGUUCAUCCAAAUGCAGAAGAUCCUUCAGACAGAAAAAUGGAUUUUACCCAGAGGGCUUCAAAUUUCACAGGAUAUAGGUGCCUGGUCAAAUAUAACACUGAUGUUUUCAGUGCUGGACAGAGCAGAAAAUCAAAUAAAAAACAAAGAUCCCCAGGAAGUCCAGAGACUGAUGGUGAGUAUACAUUGUGUCUCCUACAGAAUUCCAUGGAG